CGAUUCGCGCCUAUCCGUUUAGAUAACAAUGGAUAAAUAUCCCGGUUUUACCUCCGUGGAAAUAAUAGAAAAUGACAAUUGCACGAUUUUCCAAUUGUAAGAUUGAUCUUCGUUCGUUUAUUUUAGAUACUCGUACGCUCGAAUAAGGAACAAAUAAUCGGAAUAUUUAUUUUCACGUAACAGAGGAUGUUGCUAAGUCGAAAUCGAGAUAUUUAUCAAAAAAAGCCUACGAUUCGUCAUUAUUCAAUAAACGGGACAGAAGUAAAUGAAAGACGAAGGCAAAAACCCGACGAAAAGACAAAGAGGGAGGGAAUCGGAAGAUUUUCCGCCACUCUUUUGGAACGAAUCCGGCAGUUGGCCCGUCCCAAAACCGCCGUGGCUUCCGGUCCGGGUAGGCAUCCUUCCCGUCCGGUUCGAGUGUUUCCUCUCCCUCCUCCGGAACCGCAAAUUUGGUGGCCGAAAUUGAAACGGAUCGAGCUUUCCCGACCCACGGCAGUGUCUUACGCGCAACCGCCAAAAGAAGAGUGAAACGAGACUGGUGGUCUUUCCUCCCGCCAAGAAAGCCGCCGCACGAAGAAAGUACGUCACGAGAACACGGAAUUCGGCACCGGGCGAACAGAAAAAUGCCGGAAGAAAAGGGCAGAGAGAGAGGAUACAAAAACCCGGAAGAGAAACCGAAAAUACAAAAGCGGAAGAGAAAACGGAAAAAGAGCCGCCGAAGGAAAAUACCAAUCGGAAAUCCUUCGUCCGAUUCGAGGAAGAAGAAAAAACGAUAAUGAAAUUUCUGGGACGAAAAGAUUCUUUCAUCGAGCUGCAGAAGAGACCCGUGUUUAUGGAUCACCGCUUCGAUUACCGAGACGAAGAAGAGAGGAGAAACAGAUCGGAGGAGGAGAUCGAAUUUCUGGAGAGACUCUCGUACAAAUUAGUGAGUCGGGUGAUAGAUAUGUGCCGCCAGAUGGUGGGUUGGAAAAAAUCGGUGGGCACCUCCUUUUCAAUAGAAAAUCCCGUCCAAAUUUAGAGUUGGAAACAACAAAAGCUUUUAGAACAAGAGAGAAAGAAACCGUCAAAGGCAUCUCGAACCGAAGUCAAAUGUAUCGAAAUGAUCGUCGUCAGUCUUCAAAAUAUUAAAAUAUAUUUUUGUAUUUCUCGCAUCUUCGCGUGUAAUUUCCGCGAAUUUCUCCAUCCGUUGCAUAAUUUCUUACUUCAAGUUUUCCAGAGAAGUUCUUCAACGCCUCCUUCUUAGAACGGAUACUGUACUUUAUCGCAUCGUAGAUUCC